rnacentral:rRNA from 1 species
CUACGGGGCGCUGCAGUGAGGAAUUUUGCGCAUUGGGGGAAACCCUGACGCAGCAACGCCGCGUGAGCGAGGAAGGCCUUCGGGUCGUAAAGCUCUGUCAAGUGGGAAAAAAGCCUUUUGAUUAAUACCCAAAAGGUUUGAUGGUACCACUGGAGGAAGCACCGGCUAACUCCGUGCCAGCAGCCGCGGUAAUACGGAGGGUGCAAGCGUUGUUCGGAUUUACUGGGCGUAAAGGGCGUGCAGGCGGUUUGGCAAGUCAGAUGUGAAAGCCCUGGGCUUAACCCGGGAAGUGCAUUUGAAACUGCCUUUCUUGAGUAUGGGAGAGGAGAGUGGAAUUCCCAGUGUAGAGGUGAAAUUCGUAGAUAUUGGGAGGAACACCCGUGGCGAAGGCGACUCUCUGGACCAAUACUGACGCUGAGAUGCGAAAGCGUGGGGAGCAAGCAGGAUUAGAUACCCGUGUAGUC